CGGCGGCGUGCCUAAUACAUGCAAGUCGAGCGAACGGACGAGAAGCUUGCUUCUCUGAUGUUAGCGGCGGACGGGUGAGUAACACGUGGAUAACCUACCUAUAAGACUGGGAUAACUUCGGGAAACCGGAGCUAAUACCGGAUAAUAUUUUGAACCGCAUGGUUCAAAAGUGAAAGACGGUCUUGCUGUCACUUAUAGAUGGAUCCGCGCUGCAUUAGCUAGUUGGUAAGGUAACGGCUUACCAAGGCAACGAUGCAUAGCCGACCUGAGAGGGUGAUCGGCCACACUGGAACUGAGACACGGUCCAGACUCCUACGGGAGGCAGCAGUAGGGAAUCUUCCGCAAUGGGCGAAAGCCUGACGGAGCAACGCCGCGUGAGUGAUGAAGGUCUUCGGAUCGUAAAACUCUGUUAUUAGGGAAGAACAUAUGUGUAAGUAACUGUGCACAUCUGACGGUACCUAAUCAGAAAGCC
rnacentral:rRNA from 1 species